AUUACGGUAGUGAACCGAAAUAUUCAAGACCCACGCCUCACGACAUUCGAUAGCCAAUGGGCUCUCAGUAUCCCUUUCACAGCCGCUUUCGAGGAGACAGUCUGCUUUUCUCAUUCCCGUGUCCAUCCAGCUAUUACGAUUGACUGACAGAUAACAAGCUAAAUGCCACGCUAUAUGUGAACUAAGCAAGCUAGCUAACGAAUUAGAUAUGGUUACGAGUAGAAUUGCUUAUUUUCAGAUACAGAAAAUAGAGCUAAAGUAGCAUCAUUGAAGUUGGUAUGCUGCGUUGCACUUCAUGGAAUCAAUAAAAAGCUGGCGAGUUUGACAGACUACCGCUGGAAGAAAGUGAAGACAACUAACGUUACUCAGUAAGAUAUGGCAAUCAGCAGUAGAAACAAUAACAAUGCGGUUUCCCCGCCCCUGGUACGGUGAAAAGCUGAGAGAUGGGCCUGGAGAAAUGUAAACUCUCAAAUUCAUAGACAGAGCUAUGGAUGCAAGGACCGACCAUCCACAGUUUUAACCAUGUUAUGAGAAAAUGCAGUGCCUUGCCCACACCCAAGGCAGUGACAAGGGAGAGGGAGGCAACAUCCCCAGUCAAGAUCCAGGUGGCAAAUUGCUGGCAGACCAUGCCAGAGAACAAAGAAACAAAGAAAGUAGUUUUAUAUUUGUCUCUCACCUUCUUCCCUAAAAAAGUCAUAUUCUGCAAUAAAACGUAGCCUAAGUUAUAAUAUUGGAUAGCCUAUUCUUAUCAAGUAUCUAUUUUCAUAGUGUGAAUGAUGUAAAGUUAUUUUUGUCAAAUAAAAGUAUUAAUUGGCAUCAGGAA